rnacentral:RNase_P_RNA from 1 species
CGAGUUGGCCGGGCGGCCGCGGCGAUGGGAACCAGCACUUCAGUGUCCAGGCCCACUGCCGAGGAAAGUCCGGACUCCACAGAGCAGGGCGGUUGUUAACGGCAACCCGAGGUGACUCGCGGGACAGUGCCACAGAAAACAGACCGCCCACGGUCGCAGGACCGUGGGUCAGGGUGAAACGGUGCGGUAAGAGCGCACCAGCGCCCCGGGUGACCGGGGUGGCUAGGUAAACCCCGCCCGGAGCAAGGUCAAAGGCUGCACCCGAAAGGUGCGGCUGCGCAGACGUUCGAGGGCUGCUCGCCCAAGUCUGCGGGUGGACCGCAUGAGGUACCCGGCGACGGUGUAUCCAGAUGGAUGGUCGCCACCCCGCGCCUCGGCGCGGGGGACAGGAUCCGGCUUAGAGGCCGACUCGUCCG